GACGAACGCUGGCGGCGUGCUUAACACAUGCAAGUCGAACGGAAAGGCCCUGCUUUUGUGGGGGGCUCGAGUGGCGAACGGGUGAGUAACACGUGAGUAACCUGCCCUUGACUUUGGGAUAACUUCAGGAAACUGGGGCUAAUACCGGAUAGGAGCUCCUGCUGCAUGGUGGGGGUUGGAAAGUUUCGGCGGUUGGGGAUGGACUCGCGGCUUAUCAGCUGGUUGGUGGGGUAGUGGCUUACCAAGGCUUUGACGGGUAGCCGGCCUGAGAGGGUGACCGGCCACAUUGGGACUGAGAUACGGCCCAGACUCCUACGGGAGGCAGCAGUGGGGAAUAUUGCACAAUGGGCGGAAGCCUGAUGCAGCAACGCCGCGUGCGGGAUGACGGCCUUCGGGUUGUAAACCGCUUUCGCCUGUGACGAAGCGUGAGUGACGGUAAUGGGUAAAGAAGCACCGGCUAACUACGUG
rnacentral:rRNA from 1 species